AUUUAAUCCAUUUGUUGAAGCCCUAACUUCCAGUGUAUUUGGAGAUAGGGCUUUUAAGUAGGUUAUUAAGCUUAAAGAAUGUUAUAAGGGUGGAGCCCUAACCAACAGGACCGGUGUCUUUAUAAAAAGAGGAAGAAGCACCAAAUAUCUUUCUGUGUGUGUGUGUGCACACAGAGAAACACCACGCAAGAACACAGAAAGAAGUUGCUAUCUGUAAGCCAAGGAGAGAAGCCUCACCAGAAACCAACUCUGCUGGCAUCAUGAUCUUGGAAUUCCAGCAUCCAGAACUGAAGAAGGAGUCCUUCUGAGUAGCCACCACAGCUACAAACAUUCUGGGUCACACCUAAAGCCAGCACAAUUCUGAGUCUCACCCAAAGGCCACACAGAAGGAGCUUCUCCUGGAGCUGUGAGCUGUGUUGCUUGGGUUGAGAGGGGUGGCAAAACGACUCCCUUGGCCACCCCAGCCAGUGUUUCACGGGGUAAUGUGUGUGUCCCUCCUACUCAGUACACUAGCUACACGUCCAGCACAACACCAGCAAUUGCAAUCCUUGUAGUCUAGACUGCCUUUCGAGUUUAUUUAGAACACCAGAGCACUAUGGCCUGUGGUGGCCAGGCUUGCUAGAACUGAAGUUACAGCUGCUGGGAUGGGCAAAUUGCCUCCUGGCUAGGUCUGGUGUAAAAGCUCCCUCUUUGGUUGCCAGGGCAUUUUUUACCAACGUUACUUUCCACUGUUACAAGGCAUCACUGAGUUCCAAUGCAAAGUCCCACAAUCACUGCACCCUCUGUACCCCAGAUGCAUGGAUUCUUUCUCUGUAUGCCACAUGGCCACUGUUGAAGAAUGGAGGGGGGUGGAGUCAGAAAUUUAUGACUGCCUUUCCUGUCCUCUUAAGUGACUCUUUCAGUGGUAUAAAGUUAAAAUCAGGUACGAUGAUCACUCACCUAUUUGUUGUUGUUCUUCUUCUUAUGAAGAUGAUUUUUUAUGUGUAUGGACAGUUGUUCAAUUUUGUGUUCCCGUGAGAAGCAUGAUCAGUGGAGGCUUCUAUUGGGCUAUCUUACCCAAAUAAAUGUAUGUGUGCUAGGGUUUAAGAA
rnacentral:lncRNA from 10 species